GAGGGUGCUGAUGUAACGACUGACCUAAGUAGAGAGGUUUUCAGGGUGGAACACCAGAAUUUCACUUUUGCCAGCGCCGAGAGGAAGAAAACUGGAAGACAACCAAUCAAUUAUUGUUGGUAGUGAAUCAUUCACUCAGGUAGAGAGGCGGAUGUUUUUAGUAGAUGAACCAAGAGUGGCAUGUAUAAUGAAAACUGAAGAGGACCAAAGAUUGAGGCCUGAGGAACUCCACAUACGAGGGGCAUGUAAAUUAUAUACAACGAAUAUAUAUAAUUAGUUGAACUGAAUUCUUCUGGAAAUCAGAUUAAACAAAGACAAACAGAAGUGGAUGAGAGACUUGGUCAGGUUGAAAGACCUGAUAAAAUUGCCUGCAAAGGGUGUGUGGACAGAAAGAAGAGGAGCCAUGGGACAAGCUUACUGGCAGAUUUAGUUUGCUAACCACCACCAGUUGAACCCAGCUUUCAUAUCCUCCCCUAGAGACUAGUGGGUCUCAACAAUAACUCUCGGCAACAACCACGAAGGGACUCGAACCCUCAAUCUUCUGAUCCGAAGUCAGACGCCUUAUCCGUUAGGCCACGUGGUCUCACGCCUAAAGUUCUUUCACUGCAGCUGACUGAAUAUCCAAAAUCAACCCACCAUUAUUCACUCAGCAUGGAGAGUUCACCCUUCACAACAACUAAUCAGAGGUAAAUUAGUCUUUACCUCAUCCACCUGGGUACUGGUGGCUUUCUCUAACAGGUGUCCCCACUUAGCCCCACUUCCACUAAUAUGAGUCAUAAAACUGAACCUCUCCGCUGUGUAUUUGUGCUGUUGGUGCCUUUUGGAGCCAAUUUAAUGACUAAAAUUACAGCUUGCUGUAUGGUACAGAGGAUCCAAGUUGUUUGUGCUGCACUUUCACUGAGUGAAAUUCUAUUAACCUUGUUUUGUAGCUAAUUAGACAAUAUGCAUGAGGUUUUGGUUUCAGCUAAAAAUUCAGGUGUUUAGUUUGUGUUUUUCAUGUGAGUUAACUUGAAGGGGCAAGGAGAUGCAGAAGUUGACUUUGAAUAUGAAAACUGACAGUUUACAUAAAGAUAUCUAAUUAGCACAAUGUUAAUUCAUCUGCUGUUUUCCAGCCAGUAGAAGCAAUCCUAUAGCUGCUACAUAUGGACUAGAAUUUUUUUUAAUAACAGUUUAUUCAAGUAGUUUAUUCAAAUGUUACAGCUGUAUCUCUAACUCUGACUUUGACGUAAAACAUUUGCCAUAUUUGAAUUGUAAGUGCCUGAAAGAAAACUGGAUCAGGCCAAAAUGUGUCUGCUAUCUUGAAAUUGGUGCAAUAGACCUCAAGGUGAUGUAUAGUUUGCACACAGAGUCAGAAAAAUUACUACAAAGAGAAAAAUGGCUACGCUACAGAGUGUUGCAGAGACAUGAAGGAAAAAUCAUUUCCUCUGCGCUCCAGGCGACCUUCACAAAUCACCUGAGUGGCUUGAUUGCAGCCAUAACUCAGCGUAAUGCCCAGCACUCGCAGCAGCCCUGACCCUCACAAAACAUUUUCCUCCCAGCCUUAUCUGUGUUUAUGACACUUUGCCCGCCGCUGUGUGAACAACAAAAUGAGCCAGAUGGGACUGACUGAGGAUCUGUCCAGAUUACCACGCCACCUCAACACAGCAGCAGCCAGAAAACAGGAUCAGCAUGGACAGGAUAGCUUUCCAUGAAGAGCUGGACAAACCUCAGCGUGCAACAAGCUGUCUCUAUAGCUUAUUAUAGAUACACGAUGAUACACGUUUGAUACACAAUGUGUUUGUUUGAUGCACAGUGUGUCUAUUCCACCAGUUUUUGUAGUUUAUUUAAAUCAUCUCUCGGUGUUUUUACUACUACAAAUCCAUCAGUGCAUGUCAUGUUAAACCUAUCAGCGAUUUAUCAACAAAAUGUUCACAAGAAAGACAUUUUCAUGAGGACGAAUGAUGAAUGACUGUCUUCUAGCACCACCUUGAGGCCACAACUUUUACCUGUUCUACUGUCACAAAUUUCUUCACUUCCAAUUUCAUAGCCAGAGAUUCAUAAAACAACCACAGAACAAAAACAGACAAAUGCACACCAAGAAGGCGAACAACAGCCAGGGAAAAUUAUACGUGACAGAUGGUGCACAAUAACCUCCACAAGAAUCCAAAAACUCCACAAAAAAGAUUAGUAACAAACCUCAAAUGUGUGUAAUGAUCCUUCAACAACGCAAAAUGACUCCACAAAGGGCCAAACUAAUGACAGCUUGCUACAAAAUGAUCCCUAAAUGAUGCAAAACAACCACAAAAACAUAGCAAUCAUGCUUAACAUUUACAAAAAAAAAACACAUAAUGACCACAAAGAGAUGCAAAACAAUUACAGAGGAAUAAAACAGCCAUGAAAAGACCAGAAAACACAGAGUGGCACAAGCAAAUCCCCAAAGGACAUAAAAUGACUCAAAAAGAUACAACAAAGGGAUAAACAACAACAACAACAACAAACGCUACACUAAAGAACGAAAACAGACUGAAAAUGAUCCGGAAGAAUUACAAAAAGAAAGAUGACAACCACAAAGAGAAGAUUAUGCCAAAAUUAUCAAAAAUUAUGCAAACACACCACAAAGAGAAAAAACAAAUCCAUCACAAAAGCCACAAAAAGCUCAAAAAAAAAAAAAAAAAAUUUCAAGAAAAACCCAAAAAUGAUGGCAAAGAUUUACAUUGUGAAAGAACAGAUACAAAAUCACUUCAAAGGAUCAGACUGAUGCUAAAGUGAUAAAAAAAGAAACCAGAAUUACAUCAAAAGGAUGGAAAAGGAUCACAAUCUCCAAAGAUAUCAAAAGGUAACAUAAAAAGAUACCAUAAAAAGCAAAUGUAAAAAAAAAUGUUACGCCACCAUUACAAAAAACCACACAAAAAGACAAAAAAAAAAGACUCAGACAAAAAUAAAACUAGCCACAAAAAGCUGCAAAACAACCCAGAAAAAAAGACCGAUGCAAAACAACUGCUGAAAGACCCUAAAAUGGUAGAAAAUGACUACAGCAAGUUAUCAAAUAUCACAAAGAAUGAAACAGUCAACCCAGAGAAAUAGAAAACAACUGCCAAAAGGAGACACAAUCAAUCCCAAAGACACAAAAUGACCACAAAAAGUGCAAAACGACAGCCAUAUAUUCCAAAAUAAAACUUUUAAUGACCAUAAAAA